rnacentral:RNase_P_RNA from 2 species
AGAGUUAGCGAGGUGGUUGCAGAUUCGCUUGAAUCUGAGGAAAGUCCGGACUCCCAAAAACCCAAACUUGCUGGGUAACGCCCAGUGCGCGUGAGCGUGAGGAGAGUGCCACAGAAAAAUACCGCCCGCUCGUCGGGUAAGGGUGCAAAGGUGCGGUAAGAGCGCACCAGCAGUAUCGAGAGGUGCUGGCUCGGUAAACCCCGGUGGGGAGCAAGGUCGGACGAAACAAGGGUUGGGUUUUUUCCUGUUUCGGUGGGUCGUCGAAUUCCGCGUGAAUUUGGGCGAUCGAGAACCGCUUGAGGUUGGAGGUAACUCCAAUCCCAGAUAGAUAACUGCCCUCUGCGUGGCCUAGCACAAUGAGAACAGAAUCCGGCUUAUGUCUAACUCUUCUC